UAACAAGGAUUCCCCUAGUAACGGCGAGUGAAGCGGGAAGAGCUCAAAUUUAAAAUCUGGCCGGGUUACCGGUCCGAGUUGUAGUUUAAAGAAGUGUUUUCGGCGGCAACCUGGGUACAAGUCCUUUGGAACAGGGCAUCAUAGAGGGUGAGAAUCCCGUCCAUGACUCAGUGGAUGCUGCUAUGUGAUACACUUUCAAAGAGUCGAGUUGUUUGGGAUUGCAGCUCAAAAUGGGUGGUAAAUUUCAUCUAAAGCUAAAUACAGGCGAGAGACCGAUAGCGAACAAGUACCGUGAGGGAAAGAUGAAAAGAACUUUGAAAAGAGAGUUAAACAGUGCGUGAAAUUGUUGAAAGGGAAACGUUUGGCACCAGUCAUGCGUUCAGGAAAUCAGUCUAUCGAGGUGGGGAGCUGCAGAGGUUUGGACCGCAAGGCCAGCUUUUGUUGCAUUUCUGUCUGGAUGGAUGCACUUUUCUGUAUGCAGGUCAACAUCAGUUUUGUUCGCCGGACAAAACCUCAAGAGAAUGUGGCAGCUUUGGCUGUGUUAUAGCUCUGGGGCGAUACGGUGGGUGAGACUGAGGCUUUCAGUGUGUGCUUUCGGGCAAGGCUGACCGGGUGCUGCGGGCCAGUACGAGGUACAAUACAUGUAUUUUGCUUCGUGUCUGGUUUGCACUCGCUCGAAUCGGCUCUUCCACGCUUAGGAUGUUGACAUAAUGGU
rnacentral:rRNA from 2 species